AGUGAACGCUGGCAGCGUGCUUAACACAUGCAAGUCGAACGAGAACGGAUUAUAGCUUGCUAUAAUUGUCAGCUAAGUGGCGCACGGGUGAGUAAUGUAUAGGUAAUAUGCCUCUUACUAAGGGAUAACAAAUGGAAACGUUUGCUAAUACCUUAUACUCCUUAUUAACAGAAGUUAAUAAGGGAAAGAUUUAUUGGUAAGAGAUUAGCCUGUGUUGUAUCAGUUAGUUGGUGGGGUAAUGGCUUACCAAGACUAUGACACAUAACUGGUUUGAGAGGAUGAUCAGGCACACUGGAACUGAGACACGGUCCAGACUCCUACGGGAGGCAGUAGUGGGGAAUAUUGCACAAUGGACGAAAGUCUGAUGCAGCAACGCCGCGUGGAGGAUGACACAUUUCGGUGCGUGAACUCCUUUUAUAUGAGAAGAUAAUGACGGUAUUAUAUGAAUAAGCACCGGCUAACUCCGUGCCAGCCGCCGCAGUAA
rnacentral:rRNA from 1 species